rnacentral:piRNA from 1 species
UGGAAAACUCACUUCAUGCCUUUCUCUGAG